rnacentral:rRNA from 1 species
GACGAACGCUGGCGGCGUGCUUAACACAUGCAAGUCGAACGGAAAGGCCCUGCUUUUGUGGGGUGCUCGAGUGGCGAACGGGUGAGUAACACGUGAGUAACCUGCCCUUGACUUUGGGAUAACUUCAGGAAACUGGGGCUAAUACCGGAUAGGAGCUCCUGCUGCAUGGUGGGGGUUGGAAAGUUUCGGUGGUUGGGGAUGGACUCGCGGCCAAUCAGCUAAUUGGUGGGGUAGUGGCUUACCAAGGCCUUGACGGGUAGCCGGACUGGGAGGGUGACAGGCCACAAUGGGCCUGGGAAGCGGCCAGGAGUGAAACGGAGGGCGGAGGUGGGGAAUAGAGCAGAAUGGGCGGAAGCAGGAUGGAGGAACGCCGCAUGCGGGAGGACGGUCUUUGGGUAAUAAACCGGGUGCGCGUGUGACGAAGAGUGAGUGACGGUAAUGGGUAAGGAAGCGACGGCUAACUACGUG